GACGAACGCUGGCGGCGUGCUUAACACAUGCAAGUCGAACGGAGCGAAUGAAAGCUUGCUUUUAUGAGCUUAGUGGCAAACGGGUGAGUAACACGUAGACAACCUGCCGACAGGAUGGGGACAACAUUCCGAAAGGAAUGCUAAUACCGAAUGAAGCGGAGGAGAGGCAUCUCUCUUCCGUGAAAGAUGGCCUCUAUUUAUAAGCUAUCACCUGUCGAUGGGUCUGCGUCUGAUUAGCUGGUUGGUGAGGUAACGGCUCACCAAGGCGACGAUCAGUAGCCGGUCUGAGAGGAUGAACGGCCACAUUGGGACUGAGACACGGCCCAGACUCCUACGGGAGGCAGCAGUGGGGAAUCUUCCGCAAUGGGCGCAAGCCUGACGGAGCAACGCCGCGUGAGUGAAGAAGGUCUUCGGAUCGUAAAGCUCUGUUGACGGGGACGAACGUGCGAGAGGUGAAUAAACUCUUGCAAUGACGUACC
rnacentral:rRNA from 1 species